UUUUCAAUAUCUGUCAUUUUUGCUGAAAUUUAUACACAACUUCAGUACUCAUACUGUAUUCAAUACAGUAGCUGUUUCAGAAAAAGAAAUACUACGUAAAAUAAAAUUUUGGGUUUUGGCUUGUUUUUCAUAAUUAAUACGAAUAAAUAAUAGUUAUUUUGGGAGUUUGUUGUCAAAUUGUUUCCGAUAAGUUAAAGUGGCUGUAAAGUUCGAAUUUUAUACUCCAAAUGAGUUAGUGGGGCUGAAAAGUAGCAGAAACAAUCAUAAAAUCUUACAGUAGGAAUGAAUGGAUAACAGUGCCAGUGACUUCUGAUUUCAUAUUACUAAUCUAGUUUUUCCUAUAUAUUUUGCAAACGGUUUUUCCUGUAUUAUUGCAUACAGAAACAGAAAAUGAAUUAUCUUCUAAAAGGAAAAAUCAUCGAGGUCCAACAAUGUUACGUAAGGUUCAUGCGCGUACAACAGAAGAACGUCAAGUGAUUGUUUUGAACUCAUUGGGUCAGCCAGUUGGACCUACAAAGGAGAUUGUCCAGGAGUUCAAGUUUUUUUUGCGAACCGUGGCAAGGGAUUCCGAACUGGCUCCGCUUAACUUUUAACUUCCCAAGCCUACCCACACUUGACAAGAUAUGGAAUUACGUCCAUGAAAAGUAUAUGGUUCCUGAUGGUGGAAUGAUUUAGGUGAUGGAUGCUGUGAACAACUGCUGGAGGUAUCAUAAAUGCCAGAUCAAGAAAAAACACUUCUAUGCAUAUGAUAAUGACGCUUUAAGGUGGAAAGAUAAGCCUGAUACAAUUUCAAAUCUUCCGUUUAGAGAUCUUUUGCUAUAUUGGAAUACCGAUGAGGCUAAGAAAAUCAGUCACAACAACAAAGACAAUCGUCUAAUGUUAGAUGAUAUGCACACUUUGGGUCGUAAGUCAUUUGCCAUUUUACGCCAUGAAUUGCGGCAAUAAGAUCCAGAUAAUAAGCAAGAGCCUUCCCAAGCAAAGGUUUAUAAGGAAUCGAGAAAAAGAAGUUCUGGAAGGACAUACAAAACUAGCCGUGGAAAAGCAAAGGAGAACAUUAGGCCAAAAUGGAUGGUGCGGAGUCUUCCCAACAUGAAGAUGGUAAUAACUGCAACGACCCUUACUACGAAGUGAUUCCUACUGCUAAACGCAAAAGUCGUGUGCAUUUGUAUGGAUCGGGUGUGAAAAAGACAGAUUUGAAGAAGAAAGUGAAUAAGCCCGAUUUCAUAUUCCCAUAGGAAUUCAUAUAUAUCAAGUGUUACCACUGCAGUUGAGGCUAACCCUGGGAUUAAUAUUGUGAUUCCUGAUGUUCUGCUGCAAUCGACUCCGAAUGAUGCAUCCAGUGCACCAAAUCAAAUCAGUAACCAUAGUGGCCAAUCUUCCAAAUCGGCUGCAGCAUGUAAUCAGGUACAACUAAUAUUUUCUCCUGCUUUUGUGUGUGCUAAUAUCUGAGGGUAGACGGGUAAUACCAGCAACAUUAGGGAACCUGCCUAAUUUGACAUAUUUAAACUUAGGAAACAAUUUCUUAACUAGAACUAUCCCUGAAAAUUUUUUCAACUGCACAUCUUUGGAACAACUUUCACUCAUUUAUAAUAAUCUUACUGGAAAAAUAUCAUCUAAGAUAGGAAAUUUAGCUUACCUCCAAAUUUUCUUUGCUUAUUCCAACAAAUUAGAAGGUUCGAUACCUGAAACUAUUGGGAAGUUAACAGCAUUGACUGCAUUAGACCUUAGUGGAAAUCAGUUAUCUGGAAUGAUUCCUCCCAGCAUAGGAAACUUGAUAAACAUACAAACCCUACAUCUCAUGGAGAAUAAACUUACAGGAAAUGUACCACCUGAAAUAGGCCGCUGCAGAAGUCUAACUAAUCUGUUUUUGUAAAGCAACAAAAUAGAAGGCAGCAUCCCUCUAGAGUUGGGUAAUUUACGUAACCUGCAAGACCUAGUUGAUUGUUUGCUUCAGGUUAUAGUUGUAUAAAAUUUGUGUUCAGAAAUCUGAUACUUAAUUUCUAACUCUGUAACAUGUUUUUCUUUGCAUGUACCAUUAGAGUGAUAGAACAUCAUACUAUUAAAGCUGUAUUCUUGUUUGGCUCAAGUGUCACAUUGUGCUAAGUUUACUUUAAGAAUGGAUUUAUAUUUAAGAGGCGAUUCCGCCCUCGAGUUGUAAUAAUUAGACUUUUGACUUUACAUCCUUA